GAAUUGUCGUUUCCACCCAAAUCCCUGCCCCCUCCCCGUCAUUCCUGUGGAUUUGCCAGCUCUCCUCCUCCCCGACACCACUCUCCCUCCCCAAUCCUGCUCCUCCCCAUCCAUGGCGCUCCGAUUCGCCGCCACCAGCGAGCCCUCCCUCCUCCGCCGAUCCCUCUUCUUCAUUUCUUAUCCUUUCCCAUCUCCUAUUCCUCACCUCCCCCUUCAAUCCCCCGACCCCCAGUUGCUCCGCCCCGUGCUCCGUCCUGCUGCCGGGAGCAGCGUCCGAUGACCACAGUUGCCCCGCCCGGACCUCCGUCCUGCUGCCGGGAGCAGCGGCCGGUGACCCCCAGUUGCCCCGCCCGCAGUCCCUGAUUUAGUACCGGAUCGACCUCAAGCACACGGGAUCUGGACACCUCCAGAGGAGAUUGACAUCUUGACCAUCUCUGCACCUUAUCCCUGUUGAGGGCAAAUUUUUGGCAAGGACAACAAAGAAGCCACAUGUUCAAGUCUGUUCAAGUCUUACUUGAGUGAUCGUGAUGCAAGUUUAAGCCUCUUCAAGUCUUACUAGAGCGGUUCUGAUGCAAGUUCAAGCUUCUUCAAGUCUUACUAGAGUGGUCCUUAUGUAAAAGUUCAAGCCUCUUGGAUGCAAAUAUUUAUUUUUUAUGGUUCUAAUGCAUUUGUGAUGGCACACUGUAGUCUUUCGUGUUCCUUCUUAACACAAGCUAUUGGAAGAAAAUGGUUGAAACUGAUGUUGUUCAGAUCCUUUUGAUCUUCAUUCAAUCGAGAAAAGGAUCAACUGAUCCACCUCUUUA